ACAGAUGAAGCAUUACUAUGCUGAGAAGACAGUGCCAUGUGAAAGCCUGCCAGACAACCCAGACGGAGUGCCAUGAAGAGCUGUCUAAUUACAAGACCUGAUGGCUGUGUAUUUGGAAGUUCACAGACUUGAAGAUCAGAAUGAAACAGAAAUUGAUUCUAGUCCUAGAAGAGGAAAGGAGGAAUACCCUAACAAGGUAUGCUUGGCUUACCUUCUCAGCUCCCAUGGUCUCUCUACCUCCCUAGAAAACCAACUGCUGGGAGCUAUAUGCAUAACAUACAGGAAGGAUCCUUCACUGCCACUAUACAAACCAGUAUACCAGUAUUUUAAGGAAGACUUGUACAUUCACUUUCAUGCUUUCACCAUGCUGCUGAUUUUGCAUAGCAAAAUAUCCAUGUUAUACCCCUAAACCUUCCCUAAGGAAAUCUUUUAGGUUUUCCUAACCUAAACCUAGAGCAAUUUUCUCUGCUUUUUCAAGCAUCAAGUCUCUGUCUCGGCUUUGUCAGAGUCCAAGCAUAGCUCUGACUUUGUCAGAGUCCAAAUAGCAUAACUGUUUUGCUAGAGAUGCUUGUUCAUACGAACCAGUUCUAACUUCUUCCUGCUCAUCUUUUCUCUAUAAGGCAUUUCAGAGGCAAAAAAGUUCGUUGUUUUUAUGUCUGUACAGUGCAAGCUACAGUGAGG
rnacentral:lncRNA from 1 species